rnacentral:rRNA from 1 species
UACGUAGGGGGCGAGCGUUGUCCGGAUUUAUUGGGCGUAAAGAGCUCGUAGGUGGUUCGGUAAGUCGGAUGUGAAAUCUCCAGGCUCAACCUGGAGGGGUCAUUCGAUACUGCCGUGACUAGAGUUCGGUAGGGGAGUGUGGAAUUCCUGGUGGAGCGGUGAAAUGCGCAGAUAUCAGGAGGAACACCGAUGGCGAAGGCAGCCUUCUGGGCCAACACUGACGCUCAUGCACGAAAGCGUGGGGAGCAAACAGG